UCUUGAACCCUGAGAAUUGUCAUUGACUGGGUCCUGCACAUUUCUGCAACUAAAACCUAUAUCGAUUUGAGGGUCAUUUGAGGGUCACUUUGAGGAGGCGAGAGUCUUUGUGGAGGAAGCGGGUCAUUUUAGAGGCGAGUCGCUUUGAGGAGGAGGGUCACAAACCACGUGGAACAUGUUUACGUGGCCUGCAUAGUGGGGAGCUCCUCCAUCCCUCUCCAGGUACUGUCUGCAGCUCUCUGGGGGCUGGGCUCUCCCCAGUCUGACUUUG